rnacentral:misc_RNA from 1 species
GAAAUGCGAUAAGUAAUGUGAAUUGCAGAAUUCAGUGAAUCAUCGAAUCUUUGAACGCACAUUGCGCCCGCCAGUAUUCUGGCGGGCAUGCCUGUCCGAGCGUCAUUUCAACCAUCAAGCCCCCGGGCUUGUGUUGGGGACCUGCGGCUGCGCGCAGGCCCUGAAAACCAGUGGCGGGCUCGCUGUCACACCGAGCGUAGUAGCAAUCACCUCGCUCAGGGCGUGCUGCGGGUUCCGGCCGUUAAACAGCCUUACAAAACCCAAGGUUGACCUCGGAUCAGGUAGGAAGACCCGCUGAACUUAAGC